CCUACGGGAGGCAGCAGUGGGGAAUUUUGGACAAUGGGCGCAAGCCUGAUCCAGCAAUGCCGCGUGAGUGAAGAAGGCCUUCGGGUUGUAAAGCUCUUUUGUCAGGGAAGAAACGGCCGAGGCUAAUACCUUUGGCUAAUGACGGUACCUGAAGAAUAAGCACCGGCUAACUACGUGCCAGCAGCCGCGGUAAAACGUAGGGUGCAAGCGUUAAUCGGAAUUACUGGGCGUAAAGCGUGCGCAGGCGGUUUUGUAAGUCUGACGUGAAAUCCCCGGGCUCAACCUGGGAAUUGCGUUGGAGACUGCAAGGCUGGAGUCUGGCAGAGGGGGUAGAAUUCCACGUGUAGCAGUGAAAUGCGUAGAGAUGUGGAGGAACACCGAUGGCGAAGGCAGCCCCCUGGGUCAAGACUGACGCUCAUGCACGAAAGCGUGGGGAGCAAACAGGAUUAGAUACCCUGGUAGUCCACGCCCUAAACGAUGUCUACUAGUUGUCGGGUCUUAAUUGACUUGGUAACGCAGCUAACGCGUGAAGUAGACCGCCUGGGGAGUACGGUCGCAAGAUUAAAACUUAAAGGAAUUGACGGCGNGAGAGNGCGAGACGACGACGAGGAGAGG
rnacentral:rRNA from 1 species